GCUUAUGGUAGAAAUUUCACAUUUGAUUCUUUGAGCGAAACACAUUUAAACUAAACACAUGUGUGAUUGAGUGCAUAUCCCGUGAGAAGGUCGCUAGUUUGCAUAUGAUGAUUUUAAAAAUAAAAACUUGAAAUUGCAUUAGCAUGGCUAUCUCACACACUACACUUCAAGGAUGAUUCAAAGAUUACUGCUAAUAUUUGAAUAAGGAAGAUGAACUUGGAUUAGUUUGUUUGGUGCUAGCUAUGGUUCUUGAUGAUUUGUUUUCUUAAAUGAAAUUCUAUGAGGAUCACAUAAAGGGAAGCUAAUGUUUUUCAUGUUUUUACUUUUUCAUAUUUUCUUUGUUUUGCUCGAGGACUAGCAAAAAUGUAAGUUUGGGGGUAUUUGAUCACUCAUAUAUUUCAUGCAUUUAUACCAUCCAUUUCUAAAGUUUUUGUGAUGUUUUUAUGUUAAAAUUGUAGUAACUUACCUUACCUUGUGUUAAUGUACAGUUAAUUUUGUGUUAGCAUUGUUUUCACAGAAAUAAUGGAAUGAUGGAGGAAUAAAAGAAACAAAAGAAAUCCAUGGCAUGGCAGUCAUGGAGUGAUGGAGUGAUGGAGUGAUGGAAAAGAAUAAGAAAAUAAAACAGUGGGAGAGCACGGACGAAAAAAAGAAUAAAAGAAUAAGAAGCAGUGGAGGGCAGACUGAAAUAAAAUAGGCAGGGAGUGGACGAAAUUAGUUCAGAAAACAAAUGAACCACAGAUUCUCAAUCAGACAAAGAAAAAUAUUCUCACUUGUACCAAAACCUGGCACUUCACCUUGCAGGCCACUCACGGCAGACAUCACUAUGACAACCAAAAAGAAGAAAGUCACGGAGAAAAGAAAAAAAGAAAGAAAACACUGACAGAAUAAAAGGCGCGGAAGAGAGUAAGGGAGGUGGGGGGGAAUACAGGCUGCCUUUGGCAGCGUGAGAGACAGGAGGCGGAGAGAGCAGUAAGGGCAGAGGGGAGACUGACACGGAAGCAGCAGAGGCACGGCAGGCGAGAAAGGAUUGGCAGGCGCAGAUUGGCAAGGAGAGCUGACGUGAGAGACAGCAGGAGGAGGCUGCUUUGAGCAGCGUGAGAACGGGAAGAGAGAAGAGAGACUGUCAGAAGCACAGUCCACACGGGCAGAAGACCAGAGGCACGGGCGGACUGGCGAGCAGCGUGAGCCUCGGGGAGGAGAAAAACAGAAGCAGCAAGCUGCCUUCUCUCUCGGUUAAAUCUUUCCAAACUUAUAUUUUAUUUCUGUUUUAAUAAUGUGUA
rnacentral:lncRNA from 1 species